rnacentral:rRNA from 2 species
GUAACAAGGUCUCCGUAGGUGAACCUGCGGAGGGAUCAUUACUGAGUGAGGGCCUUCGGGCUCGACCUCCAACCCUUUGUGAACACAACUUGUUGCUUCGGGGGCGACCCUGCCGUUUCGACGGCGAGCGCCCCCGGAGGCCUUCAAACACUGCAUCUUUGCGUCGGAGUUUAAGUAAAUUAAACAAAACUUUCAACAACGGAUCUCUUGGUUCUGGCAUCGAUGAAGAACGCAGCGAAAUGCGAUAAGUAAUGUGAAUUGCAGAAUUCAGUGAAUCAUCGAAUCUUUGAACGCACAUUGCGCCCCUUGGUAUUCCGAGGGGCAUGCCUGUUCGAGCGUCAUUUCACCACUCAAGCCUCGCUUGGUAUUGGGCGCCGCGGUGUUCCGCGCGCCUCAAAGUCUCCGUGCUGAGCUGUCCGUCUCUAAGCGUUGUGAUUUCAUUAAUCGCUUCGGAGCGCGGGCGGUCGCGGCCGUUAAAUCUUUCACAAGGUUGACCUCGGAUCAGGUAGGGAUACCCGCUGAACUUAAGCAUAUC